rnacentral:rRNA from 1 species
UACGGGGGGGGCAAGCGUUGUUCGGAAUUACUGGGCGUAAAGCGUGCGCAGGCGGUUCGUUGUGUCUGAUGUGAAAGCCCCGGGCUCAACCUGGGAAUGGCAUUGGAAACUGGCGAGCUAGAGUGUGGCAGAGGGGGGUGGAAUUCCGCGUGUAGCAGUGAAAUGCGUAGAGAUGCGGAGGAACACCGAUGGCGAAGGCAGCCCCCUGGGCUAGCACUGACGCUCAGGCACGAAAGCGUGGGGAGCAAACAGG